UCCUAUUAUUGCGGUAGUGCCGUCCUAUUAUUGCGGUAUACAAAAAAUCAUAGAUUUUAUUACAUUCAGUAUAUGUUCAAUGCCACACAAUGUUCGAGCAUUGAAAUUAUGCUCUCUACAUGUUAAUGACACUGCACGGUACUGUCAGUUUGUGUGACUUUGGACAUAUCUAUAAAGAAAACUAAUUUAUUAUUUUUGUUGUAAUUUUGGACCAGUCUGUUUUAUGUUGACGAUGUUUAUCAUCAUUGCCUUGCGCCGACCCUGUGAUUCUGUUCUUCCUGUUCGCGUACCGAAAUUCCCCCGGUGGUUUUGUCGGUACCACUGUGUACCUGGUGGGCAUCUCCGUGGUCAAGCCUUCCCACAGGUAAUGGGCCCAGUGUAGUGAAAGAACCGGAAAGUUUGGCUCGGAAAGUCGCGGUGUGUGCAAAUCGCUUCGUGAACAUUUAUCCUGUGUGGUGCCGGUCGGUGGGAGCCAAUCGUUUAAUUGCGCUCGUUUUUGGCUGAAGGUCCAGCUGCUGUGUGAGAAGAACAGCUGCGACCGGGACUGUGAAGUGUUUGGUGUGGUCGUUGGAGCCGUUUGUUCGUCUGGUUUCAAAUCCAGAACGGCGUCCAGAGUGCCGGUAAGGCUGUGAUUAGACUGCACACCAUUUUGUCCCGCGGAGCCGAA